CAUGGUGCUGCUGGACUGGGGGAUUGGAGAUGCCCCCAGCAGAGGCGUGUGCAGCCUUUGGUCUCUUGGCUGAGCACAGUGGUGGCAUGGAGGAAGAGGAAAGUUCCUCUGAGCAUGAACUAUGCUAUGCCAUCAAUCAGGCUGGCUCACUGAAGUGGGACUUUGGGGCCACCAUGAAGCGAUCUUGGAGGACGACCCAGCCAGACCUGGUCCCCAUGGCUCACUGAGGGCCUGUCUGCUGCCAGCUGUGGGUUGUGGCAGUGACUUACUGUUACAGACCUCUGUCCCCAGCCAUCUCCCAUACUGAAAAGCAUUCCUCUUUCCUAACAAACCUGCUCGACACCCCUCUGAGAUGUUUGGCCAUAAAGAAUAACUGUGAAGCUCAAAUAUUGUUGCUAAAAACUUCAUUACAGCACAGACUGCCCAAAGCAAUGGGAGAUUUCAAACACGUCCAUGAAAAAAAAAUCAAGAGAAGUGAACUCAUCCUGGAGGUUUUAAUUAGAGUGACUGCAGGUGGCAGGUCGCUGGGCUGUGGCCUCUCCCAGGCUCUUCAAGGGCACUGCAGCUCUCCAGCUGCUUGGGCUCAAGUUGCAGGUAGGGAGAGGUCAUGCAUCUUAAAAGAAAGAGAGAGAGAAAAAAAAACUAAACAGUGGUAAUGUUGAUUUAGCUGUCUGGUUCACCCUGAGCCUCUCAGGGUUUGCAGCGAUGGUUUCCUCACCAAUAUGCACUAGAUGGUGCUCUGCACCCUUGGCAAAUGGAUGUGAUGUGAUGCAUUGGAAUGGAGCUCGGUCAUCGCAGGUCAGUGGGGCAGUGGGCAUCAACAGCGGGGGUUGCAGCCUCAUUAACUCCUGCACGAGUGCCAAAAUAAUCCAUGCAUGAGCACCUGAUUAUUGUUUGUGCAUGAACACUCAUCUAACUCAUGCAUGAGUGCUCAAUUAAUUUAUGCACAAGAGCUCAAACAGCUCGUGCCUAAGCACCAAAUUAAUUCAUGCAAGAACAACCGAUUAAUUCGUUCACAAGAACCCAAUUAGCUGAUGCAUGAGCACCCAAUUAAUUUAUGUAUGAGCCCAAUUACUUCAUGCAUGAGCACCCACAGAGCUCAAGUACGAGCAACCAAUGAAUUCCUGCACCAGAGGAAUCCAUGCAUUAGCACCAAACCCACAUGAAUCCAUGCUCCCUCUUUGCUUUUGCAUGAGCACCCAUACCCAUGAAUUCACACAUGGGUACUGGUUAGUCCAUGCACAGUGCCUGUUCAGUUUGGGCACGGACUGCAAAGGUCCACCCUGCAUUGGAGACCUUGCAAAGCCCACACCAGAUUUGGGACCUCUGAUCACCUCUAAGGCCCACAGCCCCACCAGCUACAUGGUGACCCCCUUCUGCAAGGCAGCUCUUGAGCAUGGGCACAAACAUGAGCUAUUUAUUCUCUCUAAUUCAUGUCUUGGGUUUCAAGUUCAUUUCCAGUCCAGUCUGUUUUUUUAAGCUGUUAGAACAACAUCAAGAGAAACCAAGCCUCUAGAUCACAUCACCAUCACUUCCUGCACUCCAAACUGGACCCAUCCCAAGCAAGCAAACUCUUUUCUCAAUGGGUUAAGUACCGGGCAAGCAUCCUUAAGCUCAUUUGUUCCCAAAGAGGCAAGAAAAAACACAGCUUUCCUGGGUGGAUAUUCAGGGCUUGGAGGUGAAGAGUGCAGGGGGAGCCCAUGGCACACUCAUGGGGCUGCUGCCUGCUGCUGCCAGGGCUCUGCUGGGGCAGGGUCAGGACCCUGGGCUCCUCCAGCAUCAUUUUCCCACAUGUUCAGCCCAUGUGUGAGUUGCACCCAAGCCUGCGACUCCGCGCCGAGAUGCCUUUGGCAGAAGGAGCUGUGCUAAUCUCUCGACACGGGGCUGUCCCGGCUCUGCACAGAUAAAAUAAAUAUUUAGCUUUAAAACAUCUAACAGUUUUCAAAGGGCUCGGGAUGGCCCAAGCCUGUUUAGACUGCAUGCAUAGCAAAGGGUGCGUAUCCCUUUCAUCAUUGCUGUAUGUCUCUGGCGCUUUUAUCCAGUGAUCUUCACCAUGCUCCCCAGAGAGGUUGCUCCUGUUCCCUUCUGAAGGAGUGGUGAGGCAGUGGCACAGCUGCCCAGGGAGUGGGCAGGUCACCAUCCCUGGAGGCAUCCAUGAGCUAUGAAGAUACGGCACUGAGCAACGUGGUCAGUGGGCACGAUGGGGAUGGGUUGGGGUCCGACUUGGUGAGCUUAGUGGUCUUUCCCCAUGAUUCUGAGUCUAUCCUAUGACUCUACUUCUCCUCCCUGGCAGCCUCAAUUUAAUUUUGUUUUAUUCCAGCUUGCGCCCUGCACUGGCCUAAGAGAGACACACAGGCUCUUGCCAAGGCUUGGAAUUAUUGGUUUUAGAAACAAACCCAUUUUUUCAGGCUUUGGGUUCUUAAUGCCAUCAGCUUUCCAAGAAUUUUUAAAUCCAGUAAAAUUCACCCCAUCCCACAAUUGCUCAUGGAAACAAAGGCCGGGCGGACUAUUUGUGCCAAAAAGUUGGCAGGCUCAUGGCUUCGUGAAACGCAGCGUUGUUGGAAGAGUGAUCUGUUGUGGGGGAAAAUGCACAUCAUUGGUAUUUCUGGUUCUAGAAAACAAGUGGAAACAAGGCAUUUCAGAAAGAAACAACCUUUAAAAAUAGCACAUAGCAAAUGGGAAGGCUUACACCGCUAGUUUUCAGCCCUGCUCUCCCCGCAGCUAAAAGGAAAGGGGCAGGCAGGGUGAUGAUAUUUUUAGGCUCCUGUUCCUGCCAUGGAUGCAAGGAAAGCUGCUUUUCCCAAUGCUGGCAGGGAGCACUGUGCUGUGGGAAUGUCUGCCUGCCCCAGCUCCAGGGAAUGGUGGUGGAAGGCAGCUUGGAGCCAGCAGCUUGUUUGUGAGGGGCCAUCCCAGGGGCUCAGCACCAGCAUUUCAUGACAGUCAUCAGGGGAUUCCUUGCUGGGAGGUCUGCACAAGAUGAACGUGGUGCUACAGCACUUAUAAUGAGGAGUGAGGAGCUCCUUUCAGCUCGUUUAAAGCCAAGAGGUCCUAACCCUGCACCACAGAUAGCAAAGCAGAUGCAGGAAAAGUAGAAGUCAGGUCCCCUGCUAUAAGCAUGAUUUCCAAAAGUCAUUUACUUAGAGCUUCAUGCAGAGUUAGUAGAAGGGCUAGAUGUGGCAAUGGGCAUGGUGGGAACGGUUGGUGGUUGGACUAGAUGAUCUUAGAGGUCUUUUCCAGCCUUAACGUUGCUGUGGUUGCAUGAAAAGUGUUGGCAGUUGCUGCUUUAUUUAAAAAUGUGAUGGAAUGACAAGAACAGCAUAAUACAGACUUUGCUCUUCAUUAAAUGUAGACAAUAACAUGUUAUUUUAGUAGAAUUCACCUUCGUAAUAGUACUGCAAGAUAUUCAGCAUUUCCAAGCACCAGUCAUCGAGGAAGACUUUCCAGACACCAACAAGGCACCAUCAAAUCUAGUAGGCACAGCAAAUAGAGGUGGAGGUCUGACAAUCCAGUCAGUACUCAUUCAGGCUUCCCAAAGUAAGCCCACAGUGGUGAAGCCACAUUAUAAAGCACUGAUCCAGGAAGAACUCACUCUACCCCAGCUCAGAAUGCAAGAAGCAUUCCGUGAAGCAGCAGGCUCCACCCUCCAUCAGGUAUGGUGGUGUCUGAAUGGCUGAUCUCCCAGCAGAAGGGCUGCAAGGAGGCAGUGACCAACUGGGCACAGCUCAGGACAAGUAACCCACUGCUCCCAUAUCACCUGGAUCUCCCCUGUCUGAAAGGAGGAGUGGGGUAGGGGACACAGAUCUGCUGUUACUUUGGGGCCAUGGAUGGAGGCACCGACACAGUGACAAGCUUCAGUAAGAAAGUCACAGAGAUAAUACUGUGUGCCGAGAAAUGAACAGGUUGUCAGUUCCUAGAGUUAGAGCAACCUGAAAUAGGCCGAAGACUUGCAGCUGUGUCAGAAGUAUUCAGCCAUCCCUCCUCCCAUGCCCACCAUAGCUCCCAGGAAAGGGGUGAGGGAAAAAAAAAAAAUCUUGCCCACACAUUACACAGCUUCUGACUGCCCCAGUGUAGAGGUUGAAAGAUUACUGAGGCAGGUUUCAAACAGCAGUCCCUCUGACCAGAGUUCUUACAUCAAUACUACCGUAUGAGUCCAUCCAUCCUUUUUCCCCCACAACUCUCAUCCUUCAACAUCCAACUUCUCCCCGUGUUGCUUCUCAUCACUCCAUGCAACAGACACACACCCUUCCUUUCAAGGAAAAACAUAAUAAUAAUAAUAAAUAAAUAAAAACAGGCAAAAAAACAGCCUCUGCUUUUCAGCUCAUAAAAAAAUAAA
rnacentral:lncRNA from 1 species